GCGAGACUAAUAGAAGACACUAUCAAAUUUUGGCCAUAAAGGACCAAUGGUGCACGCAUGGAGACGAGGAUUUCUAGUUGCCACCAUCCUGGAAAUGACAUCAGAUAAUGCUCUCACUGAAGACCGGUGGUUAUUUUCAAGUAGAAGAGCCCCAGGCAGAAUUUCAACUUCAUUAGAGUGCCUUUUUGUCUAAGGCUAUAUAACACA